UGUCCCCCAGUCUGUGUUCAGUCGGUGUGUUUCCUGUUUUACUUUGAAGGUCCUUGUCUUAUGUGAGUGUGUUCAGUUUACGUUUCCCCUGCCUCAUCAGUUGUGAUUUCACCCAGGUGUGCUUCCGUCUCCCAUCCCCUGAUUACUGCUGUGUGUAUUUAAGCCCUGUGUGUUCUCCUGCCUGUUGCUGGUUCGUCUGUGUUAUUUGGUGUUUUCGUUUCUGUGAAUCUCCUGCCGUCAUCCUGUGAAUUCUCCCUGCAAGUUGCUUUCUCUCGUGUUCAGGUUUGGUGUUUAGGUUUUAGUUUUCCCAGUGUAGUUUAUAUCUAUGUUCGGUUUAUCGCCACACUCUCCUUUUGUUUGUUAUCACUCGGGUUCUGUGUCAAUAAAGCCCUCUCACUUCACUGCAUCUUGGAUCCUUUGUUAAAUUCCCACGGCUUGCCCCGGCAACCCUUGAGAGGAAGACUGCUGCGGGAAAAGGAACAUCUUCCAAACUGACAUCCUGUAGAAACCAGUUAAACUGGUUGGGUGCCAGUAAUAAAGGAAUCAUCUUUUAAAAUUAGGUUGCUGCAUAACUAGUAAAAAACCUGAAAUGGUGGUGAACUGCUUUGCAAACACUGGUGUCAUGGCACAGAACAAUAAACCAUCAGAGGCUCUCCCCCCGCUCCUCCCAGGAUUCAUUUACAACCUGAAGAGAACAGGUGACCGUAUCCCACCCUGUUGGACUCCAUUCAUAAACAUCCUAUGGCACCAAACCAUGAAGUCGUCCUUUAAACUGCUUCCUGUGAAGUAGACAUAGGAUCUUCUUCCUGGAAAGGGACUGCAGCUCUUCUUUCUGGGUGUCCUCCAUUUACGAAAGCUGCUGACAGGCUAAGCUGAGGAGCUCUUUCCUGUGAUGCGUUUCAACAGAGUCCACUCUGACAACCACUUGCCUUUGAAGGGUGCUAAUUAUAUUUCAGAAAACAUGAAUGGCAGAAAAUAUUACAUUUUAAUGGGUCAGUCAUACAAGAGUGACCAGAAAAACACAGAAAUUGUCUGAGCACUAUUCACCCACUCCAUUUUCCAGCACCCACGGAGUCACCAGAUGCCUUUGUGCAACCCAACCGGACAUCUUUUCCUUUUUACUAGGGCUCCAUUCAAGCCACCACCUUUAUCUCCACCAAGAGCGUCUGGGCUCCAGGGGGUCCUGCUCUGCUCCCUAUCACAGCUGGGGUUUGGAAACGGGCCAUCAGAGUCUAAGCGCCAAAUACCUCCAUGUAAAUUCUGUACAUCAACAAAGCAUGUCCAUUUUUUUCUAAUGAUCUCUCCUUAUUAAAAUAAUAAUCUUCACACAAUCAAUUCAUGUGAAUUAUAUCUAAUUAACCUACUCUGAGCUAAUGCCGAUUUUGUGCUAAGCACCCAAACACCCCUUGGAAAUGCACUCCCACAGGAAUACAGUGG